rnacentral:tRNA from 1 species
GCCUUCUUAGUUCAGUGGCUAGAAUUUUCCACUAGUAAUGGAACGGUCACCCGUUCAAUUCGGGUAGAAGGCA